rnacentral:misc_RNA from 1 species
UACGUAGGGUGCAAGCGUUAAUCGGAAUUACUGGGCGUAAAGCGUGCGCAGGCGGUUUUGUAAGACAGGCGUGAAAUCCCCGGGCUCAACCUGGGACUUGCGCUUGUGACUGCAAGGCUGGAGUGCGGCAGAGGGGGAUGGAAUUCCGCGUGUAGCAGGGAAAUGCGUAGAUAUGCGGAGGAACACCGAUGGCGAAGGCAAUCCCCUGGGCCUGCACUGACGCUGAGGAGCGAAAGCGUGGGGAGCAAACAGG